CGUUAGGGGUGGAGCUUCAGGGGGAGCGCGCCGAGAUGUCGGGCGUCUGUGCAGAACCGUCUGGAGCAGGAAAGAUGCUAAAAAAUUUGCCUUUGACCUCCCGCCAGCCUGGAGACAUGAUGUCCACUCCUGGCAGGGCGGUCAGGUCAGGCAAGAUUACUACAACCUCAGGAAGGUAAAAGGUAAGCGUGGAAAUCAUGACAAAAUGCACAUUACCAGUUUUAGAAAAACUUCUGUCAAAUCCUACCUACCUGCCAUUGCCACUGGGAAAUGGAUGACCAUGACAGUUGAUUCUUCUGCUUGGAAGACUUUUGAAGCAUGGAUGGAAAAGAAGGUGAAAUAUUCGAUGUAUGCUUUAAUCUGUAUGUUUAGAGGGAUUGGAGAAAAUUUAUCAUCAAUGUUUAAUGAUUAUUGAUUAAAAUCAAU
rnacentral:lncRNA from 1 species